GUCUUAUUGAAUAUAAUUUUAAGUCAAAUCUGCUCACUGAAGUAUUAAAGAGCCGCAGUAUUCUAACUGUGCAAAGGUAGCAUAAUCAAUAGUUUUUUAAUUGAAAACUUGUAUGAAUGAUUAGAUGAAAAAUUUGUUUUCUUUAUUAUAAUAAAUUUAAUUUUAAAUUUAAGUGAAAAUGCUUAAAUAUAAUUAAAAGACGAGAAGACCCUAUAGAUUUUUAUUAUUAUAAUUUAAUUUUAUAAUUAUUAAAUUAAAAUAAUUUAAUUGGGGCGAUUUUGUAAUAUAAAAAACUUAAUUUUUUAAAACCAUAAAUAAUUGAAUUUUUUGAUCUAAAAAUUUUAAAAGAAAGAUUAAAUUACCUUAGGGAUAACAGCGUAAUUUUAUUUAAGAGUUCAUAUCUAUAAUAAAGUUUGCGACCUCGAUGUUGAAUUAAGAUAAAUUAUUGGAGUAGAAGCUAAUAUAAUUAGUCUGUUCGACUAUUAAAUUCU
rnacentral:rRNA from 1 species